rnacentral:rRNA from 1 species
UGGGGAAUUUUGGACAAUGGGCGAAAGCCUGAUCCAGCAAUGCCGCGUGUGUGAAGAAGGCCUUCGGGUUGUAAAGCACUUUUGUCCGGAAAGAAAUCCUUGGCUCUAAUACAGUCGGGGGAUGACGGUACCGGAAGAAUAAGCACCGGCUAACUACGUGCCAGCAGCCGCGGUAAUACGUAGGGUGCAAGCGUUAAUCGGAAUUACUGGGCGUAAAGCGUGCGCAGGCGGUUUGCUAAGACCGAUGUGAAAUCCCCGGGCUCAACCUGGGAACUGCAUUGGUGACUGGCAGGCUAGAGUAUGGCAGAGGGGGGUAGAAUUCCACGUGUAGCAGUGAAAUGCGUAGAGAUGUGGAGGAAUACCGAUGGCGAAGGCAGCCCCCUGGGCCAAUACUGACGCUCAUGCACGAAAGCGUGGGGAGCAAACAGGAUUAGAUACCCUGGUAGUCCACGCCCUAAACGAUGUCAACUAGUUGUUGGGGAUUCAUUUCCUUAGUAACGUAGCUAACGCGUGAAGUUGACCGCCUGGGGAGUACGGUCGCAAGAUUAAAACUCAAAGGAA